rnacentral:rRNA from 1 species
UACGAAGGGUGCAAGCGUUAAUCGGAAUUACUGGGCGUAAAGCGUGCGCAGGCGGUUUUGUAAGUCUGUCGUGAAAGCCCCGGGCUCAACCUGGGAAUUGCAUUUGAAACUGGGAAACUAGAGUGUGUGAGAGGGGGGUAGAAUUCCAAGUGUAGCGGUGAAAUGCGUAGAGAUGUGGAGGAACACCGAUGGCGAAGGCAGCCCCCUGGGUCAAGAUUGACGCUCAUGCACGAAAGCGUGGGGAGCAAACAGG